GACGAGGUGGCCGAGUGGUUAAGGCGUGAGACUGCUAGAUAGCAAGAAAUCUCAUGUGCUAUGCACGCGAGGGUUCGAAUCCCUUCCUCGUCG
rnacentral:tRNA from 1 species